GACGAACCGUGCGAACGUUAUUCGGAAUCACUGGGCUUAAAGGGCGCGUAGGCGGGUCAUCAAGUCCGGGGUGAAAUCCCACGGCCCAACCGUGGAAGUGCCUUGGAUACUGAAGACAUCGAGGGGGAUAGGGGCGUGCGGAACUCAGGGUGGAGCGGUGAAAUGCGUAGAUAUCCUGAGGAACACCGGUGGCGAAAGCGGCGCGCUGGAUCCCUUCUGACGCUGAGGCGCGAAAGCCAGGGGAGCAAACGGG
rnacentral:rRNA from 1 species